rnacentral:tRNA from 1 species
GCCGGGGUGGCGGAACUGGUAGACGCUGGGGACUUAAAAUCCCCUGGUCGCAAGGCCAUGUGGGUUCGACUCCCACCCCCGGCACGA